rnacentral:rRNA from 1 species
AGCUAGCAACGACUGAAGGAAUAGACUUGUCUAUNGCUGGAUAGAGUUGCGAUACGGGUGAGUANCGCGUUAGGUAACCUACCUCAUAGCGGGGGAUAACUAUUGGAAACGAUAGCUAAUACCGCAUAAGAAUACUUAUUGCAUGAUAAGUAUUUAAUAAGGAACAACAGUUUCACUGUGAGAUGGACCUGCGUUGUAUUAGCUAGUUGGUAAGGUAACGGCUUACCAAGGCGACGAUACAUAGCCGACCUGAGAGGGUGAUCGGCCACACUGGGACUGAGACACGGCCCAGACUCACAUACGGGAGGCAGCAGUAGGGAAUCUUCGGCAAUGGGGGCAACCCUGACCGAGCAACGCCGCGUGAGUGAAGAAGGUUUUCGGAUCGUAAAGCUCUGUUGUCAGCCAAGAAUGUAUGUGAGAGUGGAAAAUUCACAUAGUGACGGUAACUGACCAGAAAGGGACGGCUAACAUACGUGCCAGCAGCCGCGGUAAUACGUAGGUCCCGAGCGUUGUCCGGAUUUAUUGGGCAGUAAAGCGAGCGCAGGCCGGUGUUGAUAAAGUCUGAAGUAAAAGGCUUGUGGCUUAACCAUAGUAUGCUUUGGAAACUGUUAAACUUGAGUGCAGAAGGGGAGAGUGGAAUUCCAUGUGUAGCCGGUGAAAUGCGUAGAUAUAUGGAGGAACACCGGUGGGCGAAAGCGGCUCU